CUGGCUAAUGCCACGGAAACAAGCCCUCCGUACUAAUCUAGCACAAUCCAUGCAUGCUUCCACAUAUUUUGGCAGGGGAAAGUAGGAGUCCACUGACAAUGGCUUGGGAUAUUGCUAGCCACCGCUCCUGAAUUCAUACAUUUUUUAUCUCUGGCUGCCCUCUUUCAGGGACUGAUCCUGCAAGUAAUCCCUCGUGUGAACGGCAGCUGCCAGACCAGGCUUUUAUUUGGGAGCUCACCAAACGCCACUGACCUGGCUCCUCGCUGCUGCGCCAUGUGUGUGGGCAGCAGGGCACACGGGAAGGAGGGGCACCCACCUCUGCCACCAGCACCCAUGGAAGGGAGUUAUCGCACUCUUGUGCCUCAGUUUCCUAACCUCCCGACUCGAUUUCUCCUUCUGCAGGUGACUUCUUUCCACCUCAAUGGCUGCUGCAGGUGUUUGGACCAAGCACAGGGAUAAGCCCUCUCGCAUAUGCAGUUGGAUGGGAGGCUGCCUCCAAGGCAUGUGGAAACGGCAAAGCAGCGAUUCUCAGACAUCACAGGCUGCACAGCCAAAUGGGCACGGGGCAGUACACAGGUUAUUAAUCCCUGGCCUUUAAUAACAGCAGUGUUUCUCCUUUCACCAAGACAGCUUUUUAAGCAAGAGAGCCUCUUUAAUUUCUUGAAUAGCUUCCUUCGCUUUCAUUCUUAUAGAAGAAUCACAACUUCCUGGAAAAGAUGCUUUAAACAUUAAAAUACUGCACUACCAGGGCCUAGCAUACUUCGGAUUAAUAAAACUUGUAUCUUAAAAUAGAUGCA
rnacentral:lncRNA from 1 species